GGGGAAUUAGCUCAGCUGGGAGAGCGCUUGGCUGGCAGCCAAGAGGUCAGGGGUUCAAGUCCCCUAUUCUCCA
rnacentral:tRNA from 1 species